GCCACCUCGGGGCCGGCCGCGGCGUGUAUACGUAGUGGGCAAUGGGUGUCCGGAAUUAUUGGGCGUAGAGGGCUCGUAGGUGUGCUGUCGCGUUGUCUGGGAAAACUCGGGGCUCAACCCCGAGCCUGCAGUCGUUACGGGCAGACUUGAGUGCGGUAGGGGAGACUGGAAUUCCUGGUGUAGCGGUGAAAUGCGCAGAUAUCAGGAGGAACACCGGCGGCGAAGGCGGGUCUCUGGGCCGUAACUGACACUGAGGAGCGAAAGCGUGGGGAGCGAACAGGAUUAGAUACCCUAGUAGUC
rnacentral:rRNA from 1 species